rnacentral:tRNA from 1 species
GCCUGGGUGGCUCAGUUGGUUGAGCCUCAGACUCUUGAUUUUGGCUCAGAUCAUGAUCCCAGGUCGUGGGAUCAAGCCCCACAUCAGGCU